rnacentral:rRNA from 1 species
UACAGAGGUCCCAAGCGUUGUUCGGAAUUACUGGGCGUAAAGCGCACGUAGGCGGGCGAUUAAGUCAGGUGUGAAAUCCCGGAGCUCAACUCCGGAACUGCCUUUGAUACUGGUCGUCUAGAGAUCGGAAGAGGUGAGUGGAAUUCCCAGUGUAGAGGUGAAAUUCGUAGAUAUUGGGAAGAACACCAGUGGCGAAGGCGGCUCACUGGUCCGAUACUGACGCUGAGGUGCGAAAGCGUGGGGAGCAAACAGG